UUUCAAAUAAUUUAAUUUGCAGCUUAAUUAGAAAAUAUUGCAUUUCUUAUAUUCUUGCUAUAAUUAUGAAGAAUUAUAUCCUUAUUUAAUUUAUUUUUUAUAUAUUUUAUACAAUUUACAUGAAACUGAUAAAGUUGUCAGAAAUUUUUAUUACAAUUAUAAUUAUUUUUUUUCAGUUGGGAAAGUAAUGGUUUCAAUUGCUGUUUAAUUAGCCUCAAAUCUUCGCUUGGUGAUAAGCCCUAAUAAUCUACAAAUUUGUUAUUAGAAUUACUGUAAAUAAUAACUACAAAAAAUAACCAAAAAUACUGAAGUAAUAAUACAAUAAUUAUCUUUGUUUCAGUUAAAAACAAGAGAACGUAAAACAAUUUAUAGCCUCGUGGCGAUGGAAAAACAAACCUUGAGAGGAGUGAAGACACGAUGAUUUCUUAAUCCUCCCGAUGGUUGAAAUUUGCGUUGGUGUCUGGACGUUCGGCUGGCUGGAUGUGACACAGCCGAAUUUUGAAAAACAUCAGCUAUGCCGACAUCUUGCCUUCGAGGCGCCCAGUUAAUAUUGUGGAUACAUUCUUCUCGUUGAAUACAAAGAUUUAAACAGAACACUCAGUCACAGAACACUAUAAUAUCUAAGGAAUUUGAUUGUGUGAUCUUGAUUUUAUCCCUCCUGGAUAGUCCAUGAAGAGGAUGAGCAGUAGAAAGUACAGUCGACGCGUUAUUCGAAAGAGACACCUGCACGAGGCUGGAGACUCGCCAAAUAACUGAUAGCGUGGGCGUCGCGACUUCGAAGACGACGUCGAACGACCAAAGUCGAGAGGGGGUGAAGCUUCCCCGUUCUUCUUGUUCCAUUGGUCAGGAACCGAUUGUGCGAUUCGUGUCUUCCUCCUCUCCGUCUUCUGUUCUUACCGAUCGUCCCUAUCGCUGGAGGCAAGCUGCGAAUUGUUGCGCCGGUAGAGUCGUCAUCAGUUGCUCUGAUUUGGAGAGGAAGAUUCAUGAUACCAUGAUGAUGAAAACCUACGAUGAGAUUUAAGAUUCACUUGUGACAGAUAAACUAUUAAUGCACUCAAAGAAAAAUAAGUGAACGACGACGCUUGUUUAUGAAUAUUGGAGAUUUGAGACGCUGGAGAUUGAUGGUAAAAAAUAUGAGAAAUUUCUAGAGAUACGCUACUAACCGAUCAUGUGAUCGACAAAAUCUCGAGAAACACCCUCGUGACUAGAUAAAGAAAGAAGCGAAAGGCAUAACGAAGAAGGAAUCUCGAAGGAAGUAGGCCGUGCAAAUGAGGAAGUCUGUCGACCUGCUCUGAAACUAAAAAAUCCAACAGUCGCUUGCUAAUUGAAGAACAAACAGGCACAGUUCAAUCGGAGGUUCUGCAGGAAAAAUCGUGACGAAAUUUAUUUUGACGACUCCAUUAUGUCGUUGAAUGUCUCCAUCUGUUACAUAAUUUGAGCGUUCAAUUGCAACAUUUUUGUCUCUAAAUGCGCAAGAAGUGACUAAUGGACUAAAGACCUUACAUUCUUAUGAAGAUUAUGGAGGAAGUGGUACCUAAAUAGAGAUCUGUUUUACGCUGUGAAUAUUAUAACGAGCAUCUUUAUGCAACAUUUUUGCACAUUCAAUUUCACAUAAACGAAUAGAAAUCCGCAGUCUAAUGUCCAGAGAGGUACGAUAAAAAAAGUAAAGAACUAAUCUCAAACUUUACCUACCCUUUUAUGAAUAAUUACACGAGUUCUACUUUCUUUACACUUUCAAAAUAAAUAAACCAAAAGCCAGGAUUUACUAAUCGAGCAACUAAAAUCGAUGAAAAGGAAAUAAGCAACUCGGACCUUACCUCCAUUUCUACAAAUAAUUCCAAAAGUUCCAUUCUUCCAAUAAAGGUUGCUCCCAGCUAUGCUCUUCGCGGAAAAAGGUCCCUUUAAAAUACCGAUUUCACCUUGCUCCUUGGUCAAUUGGAAGAUCCGUUAAACGUCUCACACUUUGGAUAGAUCUCGUUCGUAAUUCGCGAUACCCGCGAGAUCGGUUGGCACAUUCCGUGGAAUCAAUGGGAAAACGAGCAGAACCGACAAUUACCAUUAAAAUAACCACGAGCGCAACGCAACGAACGAAGGAAAAAAGCAUUGUUUCGACCAGCUACGAGCACCGACGAGACUUUUUAUCUGAACAAUAUAUCGCGCUCUUUUGCUUAUCGCAAAACCGUGACUGAUAACUCUUCUCUUUUUCCUUCGUUCUUUUCCUUUACCUUUUUUCUUUUUUUCUUUCUUUUGAACCGCAUUUUAUCGCCGAGUGUAACAGGUAGCUCGUAACACGUUGCGACGAAUCAACGAACCUCGUCGCGAUUAUCGAGCCGUUUUCACGGUUCGUGGCUCGCGAGUCGAACACCACGACCCGUUUGCAGAUCAGUGUCGCCUCGACCAGGAAAUCGGUCUCGUCUUACAGGAUGCCGGUGCGUCAAUAUUGACACGUUUCUUACGAAACCACCAGAGAAAGAGGAAAGAAGGAAGAUAAAACGAGAGAAGGGAAGAAUUGAGAAUUUGGAGAAGUUUUUGGGAGGUGGCAGGAUUUCAAGGUCGCUGGGUCUUUGCUAGAGUUCAGGGUCGUUUAUGUCGUUGAUUUUGAUUUAAUGUAGGGUAAGGUGAUGUCGUAUAUAGGGUGUUAAAAUUGCUUAGCCUUGGAUUAGUUAGUUUUUUAUGUUUGAUUUUUUGGAAAGUUAGGAAUUUGUAAAAGGGAAAUUUGGGAUGUUGGUUUGAACUUUAUCGUAGAUGGGAGUACAAGAGAAUUGUUGAAAUAGUUCUUUAAUUGAACGUAAAAGAUGAUUUAUACGUUAAGGAUAAAUAUUUUUGGGUACAGAUUAGAAUUUGCACGUAGGUGCGGUUUUCCUUAGUGGAGAAGCGCGCUAAAUUUCUUAGAAUAAAGAAGGAAAUUCAAUCGCAAGUUUGAAGAUUAAAAAAUACUAAAAAUUGAAAUGUUAAAAAUUUGUAAAUUUAAAAAUUGAUCCAUCUAAACAUGCAGAUAUUUGAAAAUUUAAAAGUUCAAUAAUUUUGAGUGGAAUUUGAAACAUUGAGGAACUUUGAAAUUAAAUGUGUGUCAAACGCGUGAUUCCAUUCAGAUAAUGGAAUUCACCUGGGUGGCAUACGUAAUCGUUGAUCACGGAAACAGGAAAUUGAUACGAUCGAUCAAUGGACAGUGGUAACGAUAGGUACUUAACUCCAUAAUAUUAUGACCUAACAGUUACGAGAAAUUUCCCGUUAUCGUUGUAAAUUUCCUUACUAAUUAUACAAUUAGACAAUUCGUGUUUUAUCUGAUAAAUUCAAUAAAUAUCACGAGUUUAUUUCGAUAUUAUUAUAAUUUAAUAAAUGUAUCAGUAACAUCUAGUUGUAACGGGGAGAAGGUAAAAAACAUGAGAAUCUAAUUGUCAACACUUUUAUUGUUUUCUUGUGUUAAACUUUAGUCGUUUAUCGAGAAACGCUAAAUAACAAUAGUAACGCGUAUAUAAGAUUAUAAGGUGAACAUUAAAAAGAAGUAGGAAUAUGUGAAUAUUUAAACGCAUAAAUCAGUGAAAAGGUAUAAACAAAAAAGCUGGGAACAACAGAGACUAGUAAGAAAUAAUAGAUAACAAACCAGUUGCGUUAUUUCAACGACAACCAGAUAAAACUAAUUAUCUAAAUAUUGCAAAUACUUCGAAUAAUAAAAAUCUCAGUAAACUGAAUAAAUUCUCGUAACAAAAUUAUAUAUACAUAUGUGCUUAAUAUUGUGCGAUACUGUUAAGUAGAAUCAUUGACAAUAAUUUGUGCAAUAAAAGUUACAUAAUUAUAUAAGAUUACUUAAAGUAACGAAAAUUAUACGCUAUAUAUACCUUUUUUAAAUAUUCAGUCAAUCAUAAGAAAUAUCACAAAGAAUAUAAAAAGAAAUAUGGGAAUAAAAUUUGGAACAUUCCAAUUGUCUGAGAAAAUUUUUAAUCAAUGUAUGUGUAUUAAAAUCGAAUUUAAGAUUGUCAAACGUUAGUUUGUAAAAAAUUAAAUCUUCUAAUGUUUUUAUAACAAGCUAAACGUACAUGCACUUUAAUGUUUCUCUUUUAAAUUGGUGUAAAAGUACUAUCAUUAUAUUGAAGUUUCUCGUAUUAACUUCUAUUAAUACUUUGACCUUACUUCCGUCUAUGCGCGGUUGGCUACUAAUAUUGGCAUAAUUUUCUUAGAAUUAAACUUGAACAUGUGUAAUUCAAUAAAUAUUUCUUAAUUAAAUAUACGUUUUAAUCUUUUGAACUGUUUACUGCUUGAUAUCCUACGUGAAUUGAAUUAAUUUAUAUGUCUUGUAGCAACUAUUGCAUACAUUUGUUAAUGAUACAAAAACAAAUUAUUAUACAUUAAUAAUAAAACAUAAUAACAAUUAAAAUAAAUUCAACUUCUUUUCAACACCAAAUGUAAAGGAACACGAACGAAAUGAUAAAAAGAAUUGUCUCUCCUCCAAAACUGCAACUUAACUACAACCCAUUAAUAAAUCACAUAGUUAAAUCCUAACAAAUAUACCUAAUUUUCCAUCGAGUAAGUUCGAUAUACUUCUCAUUACAAACAUUUAUAAUAACACAAAUGUCUCAACAAGACGUCAAAAAAAUUAAUAUAUAAAGACAUAUGUAAUAACUAUAAAAUUCGAUGGUGGGAAAGUCAAAAUGUUAUAGAUUAAAUGUACAUUAAAUAAAAUCUAAAAGUAUCUUAGUACGGUGUAUAUAUAAUAAAGCAGAUUAUUGCAUUUGUGCUUCUAAACUGUUCACACAGGAUCGUAAAAUGCAUGUGGUCAUGUGGUUUUGAUCAACAAUAUUUUUAACCCGAAGAUCGCAAUAAAAAGAUAAUCUUCAUAUGGCGAUAGCUUCGCGAUAUUUCUAUCUCUUUCGGUCCACUAUCUGUUUUUACAGAUUAAGGUUGUUAUUUUUCUAGCAUUUAAAAAUUAAAUAUAGCUGUGAUUCUAAGGCAAAUGGUUGAUAUGCUAUUAUAAUAUCCUACGAAUACUACAAUUAAGGAAAUCGAAAUGUUUCAAAUCCUCGUAUCAUUCUACCUUAUCUUAGAUCUACUUCGAAAAUUCCUUUUGACGAUCUGAUAAUGUACUAGUAAAAAAUUUAUAUAAAUAGAAUGAAAAAAGUUCUAUUCUUCAACAUUCUUUUUCGUUUGCUUUUUCUCCCUAAAUAUUGAUCGAUGUAUUUUCUUAUAUUGCAACUGCAAGAAAUUAGCAUGUAUAAUGUAGGAUUACUCUAUUCCUUAAGCUUAUAAUUUGCAUUGUUAGGUAUUAUAUAUCUUUUAAACGUAUCUAAAACUAUACAACGUAGUACACUGCCGUUUCCGCUAGGCUGUUUUUAGCUGUUU